rnacentral:misc_RNA from 1 species
GUUAUUAUUAGGCAGCAGUAACCUCCGUCUUGUGUCUCCCAGUAGCUCUAAUGUAACACAAAACUGCCACCAGAAAGGUGGUGGCAAGACCGCCUAGGAUCACCCCACCACCGGCAACCGAUGCAUCAAAUGAUUGGUGAUGCCUUUCGUGCAGCAAGUGAAUCUCCUGUCCUUUGACGCUAACAUCCUCUUCAUUCUUAGGCUCAGAACUGGUUUCUUUCGUAUUAGAAUGCAACUUCUUUCCAGAUUGUGGAGCAAUGGAUGGGCUAGGACUGGGAGCAACCGACUGGUGAUUUCCAAGUUUCCUGGGAAGGGGUGAUUCCUGAGAAUUCCAGUAUGAAUCGGAGGGACUAGGUGCUGGUGGAUCUGAGGAGAACAAGGAGUGAAACCCAUCAUUAGCCAUGGCCAGAACCACAAAAGCAUCUGCGAGCAAAAUGAAGGAAACGAGAAAAAUUUGAGCCAUUAUAUUGGAGAUGCUUGGUUGAGUUGUUUGAGGCAGUGAAGGCGAAGAAGAAGCUUUGGAUAUUAUAUAUAGUGGGUUGGAUUAAUUAGAAGGAGAGAUCUCAUCUAUGAGCGUGUGGGUUUGAUGGAAAUUUCCUUUUGUAAGAUUCCAGGGGUAAUUUAUUCAAUUUGAUAAUCUGUUAUUACAGGGCUGUCUUGCUUCUGUUGAGUAUAAG